rnacentral:rRNA from 1 species
AUCGUACGGGAGGCAGCAGUGAGGAAUAUUGGUCAAUGGGCGAGAGCCUGAACCAGCCAAGUAGCGUGCAGGAUGACGGCCCUAUGGGUUGUAAACUGCUUUUGUAAGGGAAGAAUAAGGAGUACGUGUACUUUGAUGACGGUACCUACGAAUAAGCAUCGGCUAACUCCGUGCCAGCAGCCGCGGUAAUCGAU